GUCUCUAUGGUGUAGUGGUAGUAUGUUUUACUCUUGUAAAUAGGGUUACUUGUACAUGUCCUAUGUAGCAAGUUGUCUGGUUUAGUGUUGAAGAGGUCAGGGGUUUAAUUCCUUUUGGGGGCA